rnacentral:lncRNA from 1 species
AAGACUCCGUGUCUAAGUCAUAGAGUCUGUAUUAAGGUUUUAAAUUGUAUUUUUCGGUUAUUGGAUCGAUCAUGCAGGAGAUUAUCGUUUGGUGAUUGCGAUGAUCUUCUUUUUAUUAUUUCUGAGUUGUGUACGAACUUUGUAAUAUAUUUUGUCACGAAAUCGCCAAAGGGAGAGAUUGUUAAGGAUUUUAUAGGUUGGCGGAUUUCGUAAUGUUGAAUGGAGUCUUGAAGAGUUGAUUACGGAAGAUUGAAGAAAAGAUCUAAAUUGAAGAACAAAGA